GACGAACGCUGGCGGCGUGCUUAACACAUGCAAGUCGAACGGUGAAGCGAGUGCUUGCACUCGUGGAUCAGUGGCGAACGGGUGAGUAACACGUGAGUAACCUGCCCAUCACUCUGGGAUAAGCACUGGAAACGGUGUCUAAUACUGGAUACGACCAACCCUUGCAUGGGGUGUUGGUGGAAAGAUUUAUCGGUGAUGGAUGGACUCGCGGCCUAUCAGCUUGUUGGCGGGGUAAUGGCCCACCAAGGCGACGACGGGUAGCCGGCCUGAGAGGGUGACCGGCCACACUGGGACUGAGACACGGCCCAGACUCCUACGGGAGGCAGCAGUGGGGAAUAUUGCACAAUGGGCGAAAGCCUGAUGCAGCGACGCCGCGUGAGGGAUGACGGCCUUCGGGUUGUAAACCUCUUUCAGCAGGGAAGAAGCGAAAGUGACGGUACCUGCAGAAGAAGCACCGGCUAACUACGGG
rnacentral:rRNA from 1 species